rnacentral:rRNA from 1 species
GGAAAAAUUUUUUGGUCAGGGAUGAGCUCGCGGCCUAUCAGCUUGUUGGUGAGGUAAUGGCUCACCAAGGCGUCGACGGGUAGCCGGCCUGAGAGGGUGACCGGCCACACUGGGACUGAGACACGGCCCAGACUCCUACGGGAGGCAGCAGUGGGGAAUAUUGCACAAUGGGCGCAAGCCUGAUGCAGCAACGCCGCGUGAGGGAUGACGGCCUUCGGGUUGUAAACCUCUUUUAGCAGGGAAGAAGCGAAAGUGACGGUACCUGCAGAAAAAGCGCCGGCUAACUACGUGCCAGCAGCCGCGGUAAUACGUAGGGCGCAAGCGUUAUCCGGAAUUAUUGGGCGUAAAGAGCUCGUAGGCGGUUUGUCGCGUCUGCUGUGAAAUCCCGAGGCUCAACCUCGGGUCUGCAGUGGGUACGGGCAGACUAGAGUGCGGUAGGGGAGAUUGGAAUUCCUGGUGUAGCGGUGGAAUGCGCAGAUAUCAGGAGGAACACCGAUGGCGAAGGCAGAUCUCUGGGCCGUAACUGACGCUGAGGAGCGAAAGGGUGGGGAGCAAACAGGCUUAGAUACCCUGGUAGUCCACCCCGUAAACGUUGGGAACUAGUUGUGGGGUCCAUUCCACGGAUUCCGUGACGCAGCUAACGCAUUAAGU